AUCAACAUGAUUAAGCCAGGUACAGCAGCGGCUAAUGCCCAGCCACCCCAACUUAAAUGGAUACCCAUAAUGUCCGUCAUCAUGGCUAAUGCGAGUGCGUUUGGUGCCAUUGCAGUUAAGAACAUAUAGCUGGUGGUUUUUGUCACCAUGUAUACGUUUACCAGCAAAUAGUGACCGGCUUUACGUGGGCUUUUUUCAGGAUCAGAGCCUAGCGCUACCGCCACAC
rnacentral:antisense_RNA from 1 species